rnacentral:rRNA from 1 species
UACGAAGGGGGCUAGCGUUGCUCGGAAUUACUGGGCGUAAAGCGUACGUAGGCGGCUUUGUAAGUUAGAGGUGAAAGCCCGGGGCUCAACCCCGGAAUUGCCUUUAAGACUGCAUCGCUUGAACGUCGGAGAGGUGAGUGGAAUUCCGAGUGUAGAGGUGAAAUUCGUAGAUAUUCGGAAGAACACCAGUGGCGAAGGCGGCUCACUGGACGACUGUUGACGCUGAGGUACGAAAGCGUGGGGAGCAAACAGG